GCUCUGGUGGCUCAAUUCGAUAGAGCGUCGGACUUCCAGUCGAAGAUUGCGGGCUCGAGCCCCGCCCAGAGUA
rnacentral:tRNA from 1 species